rnacentral:misc_RNA from 1 species
AAAAAAAGCUGUCGUGGGUAAUAUAUUUUAUGAUUAUUUAUUUGAAAUAUAUUUUGUUUUUGAAAAUGCCUAUUUCAUUGCAUUAAACGUCAAAGAAGGCUUGCGGCCAUAAUUAGAAAAAAAUAACCCUUAACGAAUUCCAAGACUAAAAAAAAAGAAGACCCAACUUCCCAACUCAUCGUAACCUCAGCAAGAACACCAAAGUCUUCUUCUUACAGCAGUGCCGUCGACAUUACUGAGACUAAGCGAAAGAGACCUACAGGAAGCCGAAGCAACAAGAAAUGAUCCAGCAUCACUAAGAAGCCAUAGCAACUCAACGAAGACUAAACUAUUCGUCCUUAACCAGCAAAUCAACUCUACCAAUGGGGCACAAAGCUUCAACUAUCGAUUUGGGUAAAGGCAAGUAGGAGUCACGACUUUUCAGUCUACUUUAGCUGUGGGAAGUCGGCAAUCCUUUUAACGCUGGCUUUACAAGUCUCUGAAAAGCCUACCAUCUAACUUUUUC